UUGUGGUUUAGUUAUUUACUCCUGAUUAGAGAAGUUGAAAAAGUAUGAUAGCUUUUUAGAAGUAGGAUAUACGAGAAGGGAGCAAAAUUACUGUGUCAUGAUGGAGACAUUAAAUAAGAUUUUUUUUUUCUUACAUCACGCUAGGAAGUUGUGUUUUAAAUGAUUUCACUCUUUAUAAUGGGUUAAAACAGAAUUUGCUAACAGAUUGGAAUUCUGUUUCAGGUCAAUCACACCGUAUGUUGAUGUUCCUCUCGCCACUAUUGCCUAUUCUGAUCGCUGGGCUUACGAAGGCCAACUUUCUUAUUCAAUAGCUUAAAAAGCAUUUGAUCUUCAUUCUGAACCCCUCUGAGCUUGCAUCAUAUCAAAACGUUGGUUAGUAUUUUUUCCUGAAUUAAAAAACCUGCAUAUCUCUUGUGCCCAUUGAUACGUCUACUAUUCUGUUUAGAGUGUAAAUCCUAGAUUUUCAAUUCUUUUAGUCACCAAUUUUUUCCAUUAAAAUAUAGCGCUGUUUUGACAAGGUAUUGACGUUACUAUUAGAUUUUUUCUUUUUUAAGGAUGAUGUGUCGAGCAUAAUCAACUAUGACGAGGUGAAGUGACGAUAAUGAAAGAAAAAGUGAAAUAUAUUUAACAAGCAUGUUAAAUUUGGUUAUAUUUGUUACAGCAUUGUAACAAAUAUUAUUUUAAUUGUGAAGCAAGGCCAUUUGAAUUUAAUGAUUUAGGUUAGCUAUCAAUAUAAUAUAAAACAAGUUUUUUAGAACAUACAAACGGCGAUGAGAAGGAAAGCCAAGACGCUGAGGAAUAUGUUUCUUUAGUUUUUCUUUACAUCAUCUCAAUGAAUGUUCUGAUUAUAUGGC